rnacentral:lncRNA from 1 species
AUCCAGAGCUUGACAAAGUGUAUAUUGACACAUAUAUGCCGGACGAAAAUCGUAUUGUUAGAAGUCAUUUGUUUUGUAUCUUUGUAAAGACGCUCAUAGACGUACAUCGCGUAGAUUUUUUUUUUCUAAUCGUAAAUUGACUAUCAUAUUUGUUUUUCGUUCAUUAUGUUGUACAUAAAUCAGGCUGUUAGUUUUUUUGUUUAAAUUAUUUUACAUUUGUUAUUUCGGG